ensembl:miRNA MIR33-2 microRNA mir-33-2
CGGCCCUCGCGGGGGUGCAUUGUAGUUGCAUUGCAUGUGUCAGACUGGGAGUGCAAUGCCCCUGCCAUGCAGCCCGGCGGGGGUCCC